UUAGGUUUGCCUCCUAAGGUUAGAAGUUUAUGCUCCCUCAUAAUCAAUCCUGUUAACAUUUUUCUCUCUCUCUCUCUAAUAUUUUUUCAUUCAUUCACCAAUUUGCUUUCAUCCUGGUCAGGCUCUGUCCUCCCUUCUUUUCCAGCAUGUCUGUGGACUUGCUGUAGACUCCACACCCUUCAGUAUGGCAACACAACUACUUAAUCCUUAGAGGAUGUGCAGCCAAUCAAGAAACCCUUGGAACCUUGAAACCCUUGGACAGACGUUACAGACAUGAGCUGCUGUGUGGGUGCUGGGAAAUGAACUCAGGUCUUCUGGAAGAACAGCCUGGCUUCCUGACUCAUCAUUCUAGCCCCUGGAUUACUUUUCAAGACAUUUCUCAUCUGUGCCUUAAAGAAUACUAGAAUUGUAUCUUAUAAGUAUACCUUAAAGGGCAUUGUUUCCUGGAAGAAAGGUUUAUUGCAUACCAAAAUCAAUAGUCUAAAAGUAAUUAAAAUGUUUAUAAUGUA
rnacentral:sRNA from 1 species